GCAGUCGUACGCAUUCCCGUUUUUGAUUGAAGGUGCUUGCACCUGAUUGAUAAAACAUCGGAAUGAGUGGCGGACGGGUGAGUAACACGUGGGUAACCUGCCCAGAAGUGGGGGAUAACAUUUGGAAACAGAUGCUAAUACCGCAUAAUAGAUAGAACCACAUGGUUCUAUUUUGAAAGAUGGCCUUUGUGCUAUCACUUCUGGAUGGACCCGCGGUGUAUUAGCUAGUUGGUAAGGUAACGGCUUACCAAGGCAAUGAUACAUAGCCGAACUGAGAGGUUGAUCGGCCACAAUGGGACUGAGACACGGCCCAUACUCCUACGGGAGGCAGCAGUAGGGAAUCUUCCACAAUGGGCGCAAGCCUGAUGGAGCAACACCGCGUGAGUGAAGAAGGGUUUCGGCUCGUAAAACUCUGUUGUUAAAGAAGAACGUAUCUAAGAGUAACUGCUUAGGUAGUGACGGUAUUUAACCAGAAAGCCACGGCUAACUACGUGCCAGCAGCCGCGGUAAUACGUAGGUGGCAAGCGUUAUCCGGAUUUAUUGGGCGUAAAGCGAGCGCAGGCGGUUUUUUAAGUCUGAUGUGAAAGCCUUCGGCUUAACCGAAGAAGUGCAUCGGAAACUGGGAAACUUGAGUGCAGA
rnacentral:rRNA from 2 species